UCGUAAGUCGCUGCCAGGCAUCAGGUCGGCAGCGACAAGCUUCGUUCGUCCCAUAUGGAUGUGACGAAGUUUCACCAGAAAAAGGAA
rfam:Pseudomonas fuscovaginae strain IRRI 6609 Pf_IRRI_6609_contig_18.18, whole genome shotgun sequence.